rnacentral:rRNA from 1 species
CCCCCCUCAAGAUGAGAUUUCCCAACUUCGGUUAUAAGAUCCCUCAAAGAUGAUGAGGUUAAUAGGUUCGAGGUGGAAGCGUGGUGACACAUGGAGCUGACGAAUACUAAUCGAUCGAAGACUUAAUCAAUUU